rnacentral:lncRNA from 10 species
ACUUUCAACUAUCCCAUUCUUUAUAGAAAGACACAGUACUGUAUGUGACCUAGCUCAAGUAUUUUUCGAUUUCAUUCUAGGGUGGGUGCCUCAUACCCAUGGACUCUACAGAAAUUGCAAGUGGGAGAUUGUUAUACAAUUUCUUUUUAUCCUCAUAGUGACCAAGUUUUGGGUAAUUCACAAUUAUCACUGCAUUGAUUCCUCAUAAUUGUCCUGUUCUGUUGGACAUUAAAUUCCCAUUUGGUAGAUGAGGAAGCUAAAAACAAGACAGUUUAGUCAACUAACUAACCCAAGGUCAUCUAAUUUGUAAUUGACAGUGCUAGUAACUUGAAUCCAAGUUUGACUAACUCCAAAACCCAUUU